GGAUGUAAGGGUGAUCUGGUUGUGACAUCUGUCACCCCAUUGAUCACCAGGGUUGAUUCGGCUGAUCUGGCUGGCUAGGUGAGUGUCUUCUUCCUCCCUCACCCGUUCCAUGUGCAUCCUCCAGAAGCUGAGGGCUUGGUUGAAGAAGAUGACCAUCACUGAUAGAGGAGGACCAUUCUUCAGUCAAGGGUAUAUGUGUAGCUGCACUCACCUGCUAAAACCUCCAAACAAGCUCUCAAGGUCCAUUUGAACUACACCACUCAGGCGCUAAAUGG
rnacentral:snRNA from 1 species